rnacentral:sRNA from 1 species
AGCUGCACGGGAUCGACCGCGCGCGUCACGAGCAGGUAGUCGCGCAUCACCAUGCCGUGGCGACCCUC